rnacentral:rRNA from 1 species
CCUACGGGCGACAGCAGUGAGGAAUAUUGGUCAAUGGGCUUACGCCUGAACCAGCCAAGUCGCGUGAGGGAAGACUGCCCUAUGGGUUGUAAACCUCUUUUGUCAGGGAGCAACGCCGGCUACGUGUAGCCGGACUGAGAGUACCUGCAGAAAAAGCAUCGGCUAACUCCGUGCCAGCAGCCGCGGUAAUACGGAGGAUGCGAGCGUUAUCCGGAUUUAUUGGGUUUAAAGGGUGCGUAGGCGGAAUGCCAAGUCAGCGGUAAAAUCGCGGGGCUCAACCUCGCUCCGCCGUUGAAACUGGCGGUCUUGAGUGGGCGAGAAGUAGGCGGAAUGCGUGGUGUAGCGGUGAAAUGCAUAGAUAUCACGCAGAACUCCGAUUGCGAAGGCAGCAUACCGGCGCCCAACUGACGCUGAAGCACGAAAGCGUGGGUAUCGAACAGGAUUAGAUACCCUGGUAGUC